GACGAACGCUGGCGGCGCGCCUAACACAUGCAAGUCGAACGGAGUUGUGUUGAAAGCUUGCUGGAUAUACAACUUAGUGGCGGACGGGUGAGUAACACGUGAGUAACCUGCCUCUCAGAGUGGAAUAACGUUUGGAAACGAACGCUAAUACCGCAUAACGUGAGAAGAGGGCAUCCUCUUUUUACCAAAGAUUUAUCGCUGAGAGAUGGGCUCGCGGCCGAUUAGGCAGUUGGUGAGAUAACGGCCCACCAAACCUACGAUGGAUAGGGGUUCUGAGAGGAAGGUCCCCCACAUUGGAACUGAGACACGGUCCAA
rnacentral:rRNA from 1 species